rnacentral:rRNA from 1 species
AUGACCAUUAACAAGGCUCAAGGGCAGACCAUCCCGAUUGUUGGUGUCUACCUACCAAAUCCCGUGUUCUCAUAUGGUCAGCUCUAUGUUGCUUUGUCUCGAGCCACCGCGAAGAGAAACAUAAAGAUACUCAUUUAGAAGGAGAAGCCGAAGGAGAAGACCAACAAGCAUAAGGACAAUCCAAAGAAGCGAAAAAGAACGACCGUGUCCUUACUGACGUGGAUGAAGAACAUCGUCUACAAGGAAGUCCUUACAGGUUGA